rnacentral:rRNA from 1 species
UACGUAGGGUGCAGGCGUUAAUCGGAAUUACUGGGCGUAAAGCGUGCGCAGGCGGUUUUGUAAGUCUGACGUGAAAUCCCCGGGCUUAACCUGGGAAUUGCGUUGGAGACUGCAAGGCUGGAAUCUGGCAGAGGGGGGUAGAAUUCCACGUGUAGCAGUGAAAUGCGUAGAGAUGUGGAGGAACACCGAUGGCGAAGGCAGCCCCCUGGGUCAAGAUUGACGCUCAUGCACGAAAGCGUGGGGAGCAAACAGG